CGCUUGGGCUCUAAGGCUCCCGGACGUGACGCGGCGCUCUUUAACCCGGCCCCACCCCCUCCCAGAGGGCGCGCUUUCUUGGCUCCGCCCCUCGGCGUUAGGCCUUCGCUUUCCAGCUGUGGCGCGUCCCGAGCCGGAUGUGACGACGAGAUGGUUGGAUGGCAUCACCGACUCAAUGGACUUGAGUUUGAGCAAGUUCUGGGAGAUGGUGAAGGACAUGGAAGCCUGGCGUGCUGCAGUCCAUGGGGUCACAGAGAGUUCGACAUGACUGAGCGACUGAAAAACAAUGUGGUGGUCAUUUAGAUUGUCUCCAGAGCCUGCAAGCAUAAACUGAACAAAGAGCCCUUUGGAGAAAAUUGAGAAAAGUCUAUCAUUUGCUUGCAUUUCUGAUGUGGUAAAGGGGCAGGGUGAUUUGACUUGAUUUGUUCAGAAAUGAUCUCAGAGGCACAAGGACAUCUGACAUAGUGUCUUGUUCUUGAUCAUGGGCUGAUUUGUUGGUGUAAGUCUCAUUUCAGCACAAGUUAUCCGCUACAGACUUUUCUCCACUCGCUUCCUGACAAACACAAGGAGCAAAUGUGAGAAGGCCAUG
ensembl:lncRNA